rnacentral:rRNA from 1 species
AUUGAACGCUGGCGGCAGGCCUAACACAUGCAAGUCGAGCGAGCGGCGGACGGGUGAGUAAUGUCUGGGAAACUGUCUGAUGGAGGGGGAUAAAUACUGGAAAAGGUAGCUAAUACCGCAUAUCAUAAGAUGUGUCCAGAUGGGAUUAGCUGGUAGGUGGGGUAACGGCUCACCUAGGCGACGAUCCCUCGCUGGUCUGAGAGGAUGACCAGCCACACUGGAACUGAGACACGGUCCAGACUCCUACGGGAGGCAGCAGUGGGGAAUAUUGCACAAUGGGCGCAAGCCUGAUACAGCCAUGCCGCGUGUGUGAAGAAGGCCUUCGGGUUGUAAAGCACUUUCAGCGGGGAGGCGUUACCCGCAGAAGAAGCACCGGCUAACUCCGUGCCAGCAGCCGCGGUAAUUC